UACGUAGGGGGCAAGCGUUGUCCGGAAUCACUGGGCGUAAAGGGCGUGUAGGCGGCUAGGUAUGUCUGACGUGAAAUCCCUCGGCUUAACUGGGGAAUGGCAUCAGAAACUACUUGGCUUGAGUGUGAGAGAGGAUAGCGGAAUUCCCAGAGUAGAGGUGAAAUUCGUAGAUACUGGGAGGAACACCUGAGGCGAAGGCGGCUAUCUGGUUCACAACUGACGCUGAGACGCAAAAGCGUGGGGAGCAAACAGG
rnacentral:rRNA from 1 species